CUUAAGAAUCCUGAGGGUUGGAAAGUGUUCAACCUCAGGGCUUCAAAGGCCUCAGCAUACUGUUUACAGAUCUGCAUAAAGGAACCUGAGGAACUCAGCGGAGAGGCCGGAACAGUUUAAUAUUUGUGCUCCUCAGUGGCAGCAGGCCAGGAUGAUAUGGAGGGCUGCCCCGGGCCCACAUUAGGGGGAGAAUAUAAGACAGGUUGCACGCCCACUGUGCAGAUGGAUUUCUUCAGUUUUUUACGAGUAUUUUCUUUUACUUUACAACCAAGAUGGUUCUGCUUUGACCCCCACCCUAAACACUGGAGACAAGGAACGUGGCCAGUUUCCCUUAUAAAUUUUCUUCAUUAUCACAUUCCUUGGAGUCCUUCUUAUCUCACCUGCUUAGAACAAGUCUUUCUAGGCACUGAUUAGUGUUUAUCCCAACAGAAAGGAACAUAGAGAUCACCUAGCCUGUUGUAAAAGUCCCUUUUCAACAUUUCUGGCGUAAGUCACUCAUUAUCUGCUUGUUCAGAUGGGGUGAACUCACUAAUUCACAAGAACCUUAUUCUAGUUUUAAAGAGCUUAAAUUGUUGGAAAUCUAUUCCUUAUUGUAGAGACAAAACUG
rnacentral:lncRNA from 1 species